GGAGAGGUGUCCGAGUGGUUUAAGGAGCGCGCCUGGAGAGCGCGUAUACUGGGAUAACCGGUAUCGAGGGUUCGAAUCCCUCCCUCUCCGCCA
rnacentral:tRNA from 4 species